UACAGAGGCCCCAAGCGUUACUGAGAAUCACUGGGUUUAAAGGGUGCGUAGGUGGCGCGUUAAGUCCGUUGUGAAAUCCCUUGGCUCAACCAAGGAAUGGCUUCGGAUACUGGCGUGCUUGAGGCCGGUAAGGGUCACUGGAACUGACGGUGGAGCGGUGAAAUGCGUAGAUAUCGUCAGGAACGCCAAUGGUGAAGACAGGUGACUGGGCCGGUUCUGACACUGAGGCACGAAAGCGUGGGGAGCGAACGGG
rnacentral:rRNA from 1 species